UAUUAAUCUUGAAAUUAGCACCGAAAUCUUGUUUUUUCUCGCCCUUUGCAUCAUCUCACUGAACCUUCCUCGGACUGUAACCUCGUCACCUAAUCUGAAAUCGGAGUUCAGUCGAAGAAGACGAAGUUCGGUUGACGUCGGCGAGUGAACUCCGGUGAGAGAAUUGUCGCUCUGUAGAAGUUGCAUCCUUAUGUUCGAAAAUCCCUAAUUUUAAAAAUCCAAGGUUGCUUUGUCCCAAAUUGGUCGAGCUCCAAUCGCCUCUGUACCCGAUCUUGCAGGAGUUUCUUUUCUUCAAAUAUGGAUGAGAACAUGAAACAGUUCCAAAAUAAAUUAACGGAACUGGAAGUGGAAGCUGAGCAUCAUCUUUUAGCCCGACAACAGCUGGUUGAGAAUGAUAGAUUGAGAAAUGGGAAUAGAGAAGCACUUACUGCAUUAAGGAAACGGGCUCGGACAACAAUGAGCAGUGUUCCAUCUCCUUUUGAAUCAAUGAUGAGGGGAGUUGCUGGGACCAGCUCAAGACCUUUGGUUCAGGAGGUUUGCAACACCUGCGGCAACCAUAACUCUUCUGAGCCGACAUGGAUGAUGUUUCCAGGAACAGAUCUGUUUGCCAGAAUUCCGUUUCAUGCAGCUCAUACUAUAUUGGAAACAGAUCAAGCGAAGCUUGACUUUGAGUCAAAGAAACUACAGAGCAUUAUGAAGGAAAAAGCUUACUUUCUAUCAGAGUCAGGUGUUCUUGCAGACAAGAUAAGCCCUGGAGUGCUCAAGUCGCUUGUAACCUUAAAUGACAAGGGAAAGUAAGAUGCUUUGAGCUGCUAUAUAGUGAGAAAAAGCUUGUCGUGGCAUUGUCAAAUGGGUCGAAAAUGUCAGUGUUUUGUGGGAGAAUCUUUCUUGAGGCAUUUAGGUGAGGUGGUCCAAACCUCUAUUUUAGGGUUAAAGAUAUGUGGGAACUAAAGUAGUUUGGUCGGAAGAACAUGGCAAUUGUGUUGCUCAAAAUAAACAGUUUUAGGGAAUGAGUAAUGCUAUGUAUAAUUUUCCUCCUUCUCUCACCAAUCUUCUUAUUACUU